AACGAACGCUGGCGGCAGGCUUAACACAUGCAAGUCGAACGCCCCGCAAGGGGAGUGGCAGACGGGUGAGUAACGCGUGGGAACGUGCCCCAAGGUACGGAACAACGCCGGGAAACUGGCGCUAAUACCGUAUGUGUCCGCAAGGAGAAAGAUUUAUCGCCUUGGGAUCGGCCCGCGUCGGAUUAGCUAGUUGGUGGGGUAAAGGCCUACCAAGGCGACGAUCCGUAGCUGGUCUGAGAGGACGACCAGCCACACUGGGACUGAGACACGGCCCAGACUCCUACGGGAGGCAGCAGUGGGGAAUCUUGGACAAUGGGCGAAAGCCUGAUCCAGCCAUGCCGCGUGAAUGAUGAAGGCCCUAGGGUUGUAAAAUUCUUUCAGCGGGGAAGAUAAUGACGGUACCCGCAGAAGAAGCCCCGGCUAACUCCGUGCCAGCAGCCGCCGUAACAC
rnacentral:rRNA from 1 species